rnacentral:rRNA from 1 species
AACGAACGCCGGCGGCAGGCCUAACACAUGCAAGUCGAGCGAGGUAGCAAUACCUAGCGGCGGACGGGUGAGUAACGCGUGGGAACGUGCCCCUUGGUACGGAAUAGCCCCGGGAAACUGGGAGUAAUACCGUAUGAGCUCUACGGAGGAAAGAUUUAUCGCCAAGGGAUCGGCCCGCGUUGGAUUAGGUAGUGGGUGGGGUAAUGGCCUACCAAGCCGACGAUCCAUAGCUGGUUUGAGAGGAUGAUCAGCCACACUGGACUGAGACACGGCCCAGACUCCUACGGGAGGCAGCAGUGGGGAAUCUUAGACAAUGGGCGCAAGCCUGAUCUAGCCAUGCCGCGUGAGCGAUGAAGGCCUUAGGGUUGUAAAGCUCUUUCAGCUGGGAAGAUAAUGACUGUACCAGCAGAAGAAGCCCCGGCUAACUCCGUGCCAGCCGCCGCUGUAA